rnacentral:rRNA from 1 species
UACAGAGGGCUCAAGCGUUGUUCGGAUUCAUUGGGCGUAAAGGGUGCGUAGGCGGCGCGGUAAGUCGGGUGUGAAAUCUCGGAGCUUAACUCCGAAACUGCAUUCGAUACUGCCGUGCUUGAGGACUGGAGAGGAGACUGGAAUUUACGGUGUAGCGGUGAAAUGCGUAGAUAUCGUAAGGAAGAUCAGUGGCGAAGGCGGGUCUCUGGACAGUUCCUGACGCUGAGGCACGAAGGUCAGGGGAGCAAACGGG